GUGGGGAAUAUUGCACAAUGGGCGCAAGCCUGAUGCAGCCAUGACGCGUGUAUGAAGAAGGCCUUAGGGUUGUAAAGUACUUUCAGCGGGGAGGAAGGGGUUAAGGUUAAUAACCUUAGCCAUUGACGUUACCCGCAGAAGAAGCACCGGCUAACUCCGUGCCAGCAGCCGCGGUAAUACGGAGGGUGCAAGCGUUAAUCGGAAUUACUGGGCGUAAAGCGCACGCAGGCGGUCUGUCAAGUCGGAUGUGAAAUCCCCGGGCUCAACCUGGGAACUGCAUUCGAAACUGGCAUGCUUGAGUCACGUAUAAUGGGGUAGAAUUCCAAGUGUAUCGGUGAAAUGCGUAGAGAUCUGGAGGAAUACCAGUGGCGAAGGCGGCCCCCUGGACGAAGACUGACGCUCAGGUGCGAAAGCGUGGGGAGCAAACAG
rnacentral:rRNA from 1 species